rnacentral:rRNA from 1 species
CAGUGAUGCCUAUCAACUGUUUAAAAAAGAUGGUUCUGCUAUCACUCUUGGAUGGACCUGCGGUGCAUUAGCUAGUUGGUAGGGUAACGGCCUACCAAGGCGAUGAUGCAUAGCCGAGUUGAGAGACUGAUCGGCCACAUUGGGACUGAGACACGGCCCAAACUCCUACGGGAGGCAGCAGUAGGGAAUCUUCCACAAUGGACGCAAGUCUGAUGGAGCAACGCCGCGUGAGUGAAGAAGGGUUUCGGCUCGUAAAGCUCUGUUGUUGGUGAAGAAGGACAGGGGUAGUAACUGACCUUUGUUUGACGGUAAUCAAUUAGAAAGCCACGGGCUAACUACGUGCCAGCAGCCGCGGUAAAU